rnacentral:lncRNA from 1 species
UGGCAUAUGGAGGUUCCUAGGCUAGGGGUCUAAUCGGAGCUGUAGACGCCAGCCUCACCAGAGCCACAGCAACACAGGAUCCAAGUCGUCUCUGCAACCUACACCACAGCUCACGGCAAUGCCGGAUCCUUAACCCGCUGAGCAAGGGCAGGGAUCGAACCCACAACCUCAUGGUUCCUGGUCGGAUUUUUUAACCACUGCGCCACAAUGGGAACUCCUGGAAUGUCUUUAUUUCCCUUCAGCUAGGAGUGGGGAUCUACUCUUUCCAGUUCUCCUCUCCACCAGCCUUUUUCCUCUCACUUAAUUUGUUUCUACCUACAGCUUUGAUCUCUUUGGAAAGAACAAGCACCAGGGCACUGGGAUAUUAUUACUGGCCUCUCUUUGUUUAUUUUCACACAUGCUCUGUGACUGGUGGUUGGUCUUUUGGCCAGCCUGAUACCACCUGACCCCUGGCAGCCCUCGUUCCUCCAGGUCCCCCUAUGGGAGAAAAAUUGCUUUUGCUAUUUUUCCUUCGUUGAUGUUGGUGAGAGUCUCCAAGUGAUGACGACCUUUUGGAUACAGAAAAAAGCAGAUCCAAGGGAAUACCAGUAAUUAUGCUAAUCUGAGAGCAUUAAAUCUUCAAAUAGUAGACAUUUUUGGAUAAGCAAUUCCGUUGUUUUUGAAGUGUGGUUGUCUUUUUAUUUCUUGGGUGGUGGCCUAUAAUUUUCUAUUAAGGAAAAAUACCUAAUCCUUCUCUGUUGACUUGCUGUGGAAAUAGGACUGGCUUUAUUGUUGUUGUUUUGUGUGUGUGUAUGUGUGAGUGGUCAUGAAAGGAAACUGGGAGGAUAGGUGGGUCUAAUAAUACACUACUUUGUGUAUGAAGAAGAAACUAAUAACAGAGAUAAUAAUGCCAUUGUCAGUGGAGUGUCUUUUAACUUUCAAAGCACAAUUCCUUUUAUGACCUUAUUUUAUCAGUCAAAAAGGUGAUUUCAGCUACUUUCCCUGCAGUGGUGAUGGGUCUGUGGGAGCUUAUCUGCCUGUUCAGGUGAGUUUGAGAGACUGUCCCAGUGGUUCUGAAUCAGAGGUGAGUACAGAAUCACCUGGGGAGCUGCUAUAAAUUACCUACUCAUGGAUGCUGCCCAAGACCAAUGGACACAGACGGCCCUGAGGGACCUGCUUAUUCGGAAAAAGCUUCUAGGUGAUUCUGUUGCAUCCUCCAGGGUUUGUGGUCAUCUCUCUGGGGGUGAGGUGGGGACCCCAUGCCAUCCGUGACUGGAAGCCAGGGAAAGUGAUGACUGAUCUGGGGAUUGUGCAGAAGCCACCAUUGCAAGCUGGUCACAGGCAGAACUUUAUUAACUCUUAACCACUGAAUAUUUGAAGUGGCUGUCCACAGAGGGUCCUUGCAUGUGCUGUCUUGUGUAACCAUUUAAACCACUUCCACCCCUAGAGAAGUGUGUGAGCAGCUUCUUGGAAGAGAAUCAGCUGGGUUUAAGAGGUAUGAUCUGAGGGAAGUGAUUCAGUGGAUUUUCACCAGUGUGGGUUUCUUUGACCUCAGUUUCUCUGUCCAUGGUAUGGGGCUAAUCAUAUGCACCUCACAGGACUGGGGAAGAAGUCAGAGUGAUAUGGGCUCCGGUGAUGCCUCUGUUACAUGGACCCUUACGUAGCCACCUUGAGUAUUCUUGUCUUCAUAUGCAAGACAAGGGUAAGAACACGUACCUUAGGGCUUGCUGUGACGGUGGCGUGUAGUACAGUAAGAAAAGCACCUUGCACUCUGCUUGGUACAGGGCAAAUGUUCAGUCCGUGGCAGGUAUCUUCCUUGCUGCUUUGUAUUCUAAGUCUGAGAGGAUGGCAGGGUUGUGUUGUGGACAGCUGUCAUCCUGGAAGGUAUAGGUUGCAGCUUGGAUUUGACGUUGCUGUGGCUGUGGUGUAGGCUGACAGCUGUAGCUCCAAUUCAACCUUCGUCUGGGAACUUCCAUAUGCCCUUAAAAAAAAAAAAAGAAAGUUUUCAAAGCAUUGCUCUUCUCUGUGUGUAUAAAAGGAAAGCUUUAAUGUAAGAGAAUGGCUUCUAAAUGUGUAUUUCAUAACAUAGUGGGUAGAGUGUGGAACGUGUCUACUGGGAGGAAACUGGAGUUUUGCAUUUCCUGCCUGCCUGUGCUUUUGAAUUUGUGGCUGUAAUGCUGCCCUGCCUGAGGUUUCGGCAGUUAAUAUAUCCUACGGCAGCAUGAUGUAAGUGCCCGUGGUCUGAACAUACUAGAAGGAUGUACCCAAGGCAGAGGAGGGGGAAAGGACCAUUUUCAAGUUCUCCCUUGAAGAUUUUGUUGAGUUUUAACUUGAAUUUCUCCCCAUCUCCUUCCUCAUAUGUUCCUAGUGCUUGAUACACAUAAACCAUGCCAAUGUUUUGGAAGAUUCAGCUUUGACCACCAUAAAUUGGUUCAUAUUUCCAGCAGGGCAGUUAUUUAAUUUCCUGUUGGAAGUCUACAAAUGUUGGCACUGUUCACUCUUUGGCAAGGGACCAAAACCCAGUACAGUAUCAUUAGCAUGCUCUGGUGUAUAGAUUAAAGCACAAUUGUCUUUAAUAAGAGGCCAUCCCUGUUUAGGAUGGGGCUUGGGGGGGAGGUGAGGGGCUUCAAGGGCAGAGGGAAGCAUAAUUGAGCUUUCUAAUCAAAACCAAAGUGCAGUAACUGGGAUGCAACUCAAGAGAAGGGUGAAGAGUAGGGCAGAACUCUUUCUUGUCUCAAUUUCAUCUGUUGAGGUUAUAUUUCUCUAGACCUUGGGAAAGUUUUGGAGACUGAGGCUGACCUGAUUUGGGUGAUGUCCUCUUUAAAUCCUGGUGAUUCUUCCCGACUCCCUUCCCUCUCUCGAAGGUACAGCUUGGGGAGCCACCCACCUCCCUGGGAGGGUGGGCUCAGGAGAAGCAUGCAGUAUCUCCACAGAGCCCAUUGUAGUUCCUGAAAUGUGGUAGAGCUGCUGUUUGAGGCUCUGAAAUGGACAAGGCACUUGACACAGGCUCUUUUCCAUCUUCACGAUAACCUUGUGAGAUGGGCGUUAUGAUUGCUCUAUUGAGCAUGAGAUGACUGAGGUGCAGGGAGAUUAAAUUAUCAGCAGCCUGGGAGUAUCUGAGCUGGGGUCCGAGCCCAGUUUUGUCUCUUUGAAAGGUUCUUACUCUUUCCAUAUGCCUAGUCGGGUUCUGGGGAAAGAAAGGGUUUGUGUUUUUGGAGGGAAGGGUGAGACUUUUGAAAAUUUGCCUAAAAUGAAACUUGGAGGAUUAUUUCUAAAUGCUUCUCAGCACAUCAGCCCUGUCUUUCAUUGGCAGGGAUUCUUCAGUGUUGACACCGUGGUAGACUCAGCACAAAGAUGUUUUUUCCCCCUCCAAACAUUGUAUCAUGAAAAAUGUCAAACAUGGAGAAGUCGAUGAUGUUGCACAUGUAAGUUUUAGCAGUUCUUCUUUCUGCCAGGUAUGAUGCUAACUGCUUUAUUCCCCUUCUCUCAUUCAUCCUUUCAGCAUUCCUAAUUUAUAGAUGAACAAACUGAGCCCGAGAGAGGUGACCUUCCUGAGCUUCUCUAGCGGGUACAUUGCCUAGCUGGGAUUCAAAACUGGAGUGACCUUGGUGUGAUUUCUCUGCAUGUCAAUUUAUUCGUCUCAGUGUUUCUGUUCUUCUUCAGUAUCAUAUACUUUAGAAAAUCAAGGAUCUGCAUGGGAGGCCCUAGAAAGGUACUGAUAAGGCACAAUGGCUGAAGCCCAAGAAAUCUAAGAUUCCUGGAAGCUUCCAAAGAGUUUCUGGAGCAAGCCCUAGUUCCCCUCAGAAUCCUCAUCAGACUUUCUCCAGGGAAGGAGCAGAAGUUCUGCUCUCCCCACAGUGUCCCAGGAAUUUCUGUUGCCUUUGGGGUUUUCUUCUUCUUUUUCUUUUUUAAUGAUUGACUUACAUUUCCUUUUACACAUAAAAAAAAAAAAAA